UACUUCUAGUGGACACGCCUCCCUUUCUUCCUACAAAAUUUAAACAACUUUUCUCCACCAGUCCGCAUCCCGGUGCAAUUGCAUGUGUGUCAUGCAAGCCACCGUUCGUGGGCUGGCUGGAGAUAAUAAAUAUGCGAGACGCCGUCGACUCGGCUAUCACAUAUUUUAUUUGUUAAAAUUGGGCGCCAUAUUGUUACGGAACUGCAUCUUUCCCGGAGGGCAGCGCCGGCUAGCCACGGAGUCCCAGGGCGGAGUACCCCCUAUGCCCUGCAGUCCGAACAAUCGAUUCCGACUCAUCGGACGUCUCACGUCGAUUUACCAUCUCUAGCACAAAUCAAAACAAAACAAAACUAUGUUUACAUUAAGCAACUAAGACAAUUCGACGAAAUUGGUGGCUUCGAUGUCCUUGCCACGACGCACCCACCCAACCUUGGGUGCCCCAAGAGAGAUGUGGGAGGCACACCCCAUCUCCGGCAGACCGGAGUCUAUUCCUGGUGGAUUAGGAUCGGCUCAUCUCCCCGCCCAAGGUAACUCACACAACCAUUUCGGUGGCUUGUUUACAUUUAAUUCUUGAAACUCUCAAGGCCGAUCUCAGACCGUCGCCCAGAUGAGAAGCGGUCAAAGCGGCAACAACUGAAAGGGAAAUUUUUAGACGCUUAGAGUUCAAAGUGUCAGGCAAACUCGCCACUCGGCACUAAAUUGGAGGCGUUUGCCAACCGGGUCGCCUAAUCCUGAGGAGCUCCAAGGGAAAAGAAGGGACGUGCUGACAAGGUAAGUACGCUAAACAAAUCCCACAAGUUAUUAAAUUUCGCGACCCAAUUUAGAUAUAGUUGGACGCGCGGCCAGGGUUCGGGCUUGAGCCUCUAAAUUUAGAUCAGAUUUCACAAGUUCAACGUCGCAUGUGUUGAAACUGCAGCAGGAAAAAACGCUGAUGGCGAAGGCCAGCGCGACUCCGCACGGAGCCGAUUGGUCCGGAGGAUAGCGUAGCGUGGCCGGAAGCAGUGCGUCGGUGGACUCGGAGAUGACCACGUGGCCAGCGCGGGCAUUCGUUCCCGGAACGGACUCACCGAGGGAAUCUCCGUAUCUGGCCGUCUUGGCGGCAGUCGCUGUAGCUGCUGGCGCUUGAGGCUGCUGCUGUUGCUACUGAUCGCUGCUGCUGCGGCUGACGCUGCGG